rnacentral:pre_miRNA from 1 species
NNNAACGUUUGACCGUCCGUCUUAUUUGAAAAAUUUAUGAAAAAAUUUAAAAAGAUAAGUAAUACAUAAAGUAUUAUUUAUGUUUUAUCAUCCAAAAAUAAUAAAAAUACUAAUCAUAAAAAAAUUUCAUAUAAGACGGACGGUCAAACGUUGGACACGAAAACCGAAG